rnacentral:rRNA from 1 species
GACAGCUGAAUGAUAGUCGGGCUGAAGACUCUACUUGACUAGCUGAGAGGAGGUGCAUGGCCGUCGUCAGUUCGUACUGUGAAGCAUCCUGUUAAGUCAGGCAACGAGCGAGACCCACGCCAGCAGUUGCCAGCUCGUCCUCCGGGAUGGUGGGGACACUGUUGGGACCGCCUCUGCUAAAGAGGAGGAAGGGAAUGGGCAACGGUAGGUCAGCAUGCCCCGAAUUAUCUGGGCUACACGCGGGCUACAAUGGGUGGGACAAUGGGUAUCGACACCGAAAGGUGAAGGCAAUCUCCUAAACCCAUCCGUAGUUCGGAUUGUGGGCUGCAACUCGCCCACAUGAAGCUGGAAUCUGUAGUAAUCGUGUCUCAAAAUGGCACGGUGAAUAUGUCCCUGCUCCUU